CCCACCCACAACGGCCGGUCCGCGUCCCGACCCUGCCCGUAGGUGGCCAGCAACGCCUGCGCCUC
rnacentral:antisense_RNA from 1 species